GUCUACAGCCACGCCACCCUGAACAAGCCCGAUGUCUGAUCUCGGAAGCUAAGCAGGGUUGGGCCUGGUUAGUACUUGGAUGGGAGACCACCCAGGAAGAGCAGGUAUCGUAGGCA
rnacentral:rRNA from 1 species